UGAGUACGAGAUGCUACGGCAUCGAAGCAGUCUAUGUCAUACUUCCAAGAAAAGCUUGCACUGUCAGAAACACAUAAUGCCUGUACCAUAACCGACACAGGUGGGUAGGUAGAGUAUACUAAGGGGCGCGAGAUAACUCUCUCUAAGGAACUCGGCAAAAUGACUCCGUAACUUCGGGAGAAGGAGUGCCUUAUUUAUAAGGUUGCAAUAACAAGAUCCAAGCAACUGUUUAUCAAAAACACAGGUCUCCGCUAAGUCGUAAGACGAUGUAUGGGGGCUGACGCCUGCCCAGUGCCAGAAGGUUAAAGAAGUUGGUUAGUGUAUGCGAAGCUGAUGACUGAAGCCCUGGUGAACGGCGGCCGUAACAAUAACGGUCCUAAGGUAGCGAAAUUCCUUGUCGGGUAAGUUCCGACCCGCACGAAAGGCGUAAUGAUUUGGAUACUGUCUCGGAGAGAGGCUCGGUGAAAUAGACUUGUCUGUGAAGAUGCGGACUACCUGCACCAGGACAGAAAGACCCUAUGAAGCUUUACUGUAACUUGAAAUUGGAAUUGGACUUUGCUUGCGCAGUAUAGGUGGGAAGCGUUGAAGAUAUUCUUGCGGGAGUAUUGGAGCUAUCAGUGAGAUACCACUCUUGUAAUGUUAGAUUUCUAACUUUGAACCAUAAUCUGGUCAAAGAACAGUUUCAGGUGGGCAGUUUGACUGGGGCGGUCGCCUCCCAAAUGGUAACGGAGGCGUACAAAGGUUUCCUCUGAACGGAUAGAAAUCGUAUCUAGAGUGUAAAGGCAUAAGGAAGCUUGACUGUGAGACCUACAAGUCGAGCAGGGACGAAAGUCGGUCUUAGUGAUCUGACGGUACUGAGUGGAAAGGCCGUCACUCAACGGAUAAAAGUUACUCUAGGGAUAACAGGCUGAUCUCCCCCAAGAGUUCACAUCGACGGGGAGGUUUGGCACCUCGAUGUCGGCUCAUCGCAUCCUGGGGCGGUAGUACGUCCCAAGGGUUGGGCUGUUCGCCCAUGAAAGCGGUACGCGAGCUGGGUUCAGAACGUCGUGAGACAGUUCGGUCCAUAUCCGGUGUAGGCGUUAGAAUAUUGAGAGGAGCCUUCUUUAGUACGAGAGGACCGAGAAGGACACACCGCUGGUGUACCAGUUAUCGUGCCAACGGUAAACGCUGGGUAGCUAUGUGUGGAGUGGAUAACCGCUGAAAGCAUCUAAGUGGGAAGCCCACCUCAAGAUGAG
rnacentral:rRNA from 1 species